UAGAACAGGGGUAUUCAAGAAAACUGUGAGGAGGUCCAGUUCAAAGAAAUUUCCUCAAGCAGAGGUCCGCAAUAUCGUCUAUUUGCAGUAUGACAAUAUCGGAAUACAUGGUGUUAAAAAAAGUAAUAAUACAGGUUAAAAUAAUUUCAAAGAAGUUUAUUAGCACUGAAACACAGGAUAACAUUGUGUGGCUGCAGUUUAAAUUAAAAAUAACUAAAUUAUGUAUUCAAAAAUAAAGAAAGUGCUUAAGAAAAAAUAGCAGCUUCAGUUUCCUUUUGAUUGAACAAUCUCAAUAUUUCUGCUCAACAAAACAACUCUCAAAACACCUGAACUAUUUCUCUUACAGAUUUCUCUUACAUCUGUCUUCCCCCAAUUUCCCUUGCUCAGUGUGAGAAUUGAGCUUUGGCUUGCCCUGCCAACAUUUUAAAUCUGGGCUUGAAGGAGGUCAGGGCCAUUCUCAUGCACAUGUGCAGAUGCUCAUUGGUGAGCUUGGAACGAUAUUUUUGUUGUGUGUGUUUGU